UCAGGAAUAGUCGGCAAUGGGCGAAAGCCUGACCGCGCGACACCGCGUGUAGGAUGAAGUUCUCAACGAGCGUAAACUACUGUGGUAGAGGAAGAAGUUCCGCCUUAGGCGGAAUUGACGGUACUCUACUAGAAAGGGGCCGCUAACUGCGUGCCAGAAGCGUCGGUAAGACGUGGGCCUCAAGCGUUAUCCGGUGCCAUUGGGCGUAAAAGGUCGUGUAGGCGGUCUGAUAAGUCUUGAUUUAAAUACUCUGGCUCAACCAGAGGAAAGGUCAGGAUACUGUCAGACUAGAAUUUUCUUUAGGGAGACUGGAACUUAACAAGGAGCAGUGAAAUGUGUUGAUAUGUUAAGGAACACCAUUGGCGAAGGCGAGUCUCUGGAAGUUAAUUGACGCUGAGACACGAAAGCUAGGGGAGCGAAGCAGAUUAGAGACCUGCGUAGUCCUAGCCCUAAACGUAUGUUUGCUAGCUGCAUGA
rnacentral:rRNA from 1 species